UUCCUUCCGGUUGAUGGAGUUAUUAUGCCUCAUCGACCAGAAGGGAUUCCUUCUGGUCAAUGAGGUAUAACAACCCCAUCAACCAGAAGGAAUUCCUUCCAGUCAAUGAGGUGUAACAGCCUGAUCAACUGGAAGGAAUCCCUUACGGUUGAUGAGGCGUAAUAACUCCAUCGACCAAAAGGAA
rnacentral:miRNA from 1 species